rnacentral:rRNA from 1 species
GAUGAACGCUGGCGGCGCGCCUAACACAUGCAAGUCGAACGAUUAAAGCACCUUCGGGUGUGUAUAAAGUGGCGAACGGCUGAGUAACACGUGGGCAACCUGCCCCUCUCAUUGGGAUAGCCACGGGAAACCGUGGAUAAUACCGAAUAUUUCGGGACUUCCGCAUGGAAGACUCGAGAAAGCUCCGGCGGAGAGGGAUGGGCCCGCGGCCUGUUAGCUUGUUGGUGGGGUAAUGGCCUACCAAGGCAAUGAUGGGUAGCUGGGUUGAGAGACCGACCAGCCAGAUUGGGACUGAGACACGGCCCAGACUCCUACGGGAGGCAGCAGUGGGGAAUCUUGCACAAUGGGCGAAAGCCUGAUGCAGCGACGCCGCGUGCGGGAUGAAGGCCUUCGGGUUGUAAACCGCUUUCAGCAGGGACGAGGCGAAAGUGACGGUACCUGCAGAAGAAGCCCCGGCUAACUACGUG